rnacentral:rRNA from 1 species
AGCUUGCUCCCGGAUGUUAGCGGCGGACGGGUGAGUAACACGUGGGUAACCUGCCUGUAAGACUGGGAUAACUCCGGGAAACCGGAGCUAAUACCGGAUAGUUCCUUGAACCGCAUGGUUCAAGGAUGAAAGACGGUUUCGGCUGUCACUUACAGAUGGACCCGCGGCGCAUUAGCUAGUUGGUGAGGUAACGGCUCACCAAGGCGACGAUGCGUAGCCGACCUGAGAGGGUGAUCGGCCACACUGGGACUGAGACACGGCCCAGACUCCUACGGGAGGCAGCAGUAGGGAAUCUUCCGCAAUGGACGAAAGUCUGACGGAGCAACGCCGCGUGAGUGAUGAAGGUUUUCGGAUCGUAAAGCUCUGUUGUUAGGGAAGAACAAGUGCAAGAGUAACUGCUUGCACCUUGACGGUACCUAACCAGAAAGCCACGGCUAACUACGUGCCAGCAGCCGCGGUAAUACGUAGGUGGCAAGCGUUGUCCGGAAUUAUUGGGCGUAAAGGGCUCGCAGGCGGUUUCUUAAGUCUGAUGUGAAAGCCCCCGGCUCAACCGGGGAGGGUCAUUGGAAACUGGGAAACUUGAGUGCAGAAGAGGAGAGUGGAAUUCCACGUGUAGCGGUGAAAUGCGUAGAGAUGUGGAGGAACACCAGUGGCGAAGGCGACUCUCUGGUCUGUAACUGACGCUGAGGAGCGAAAGCGUGGGGAGCGAACAGGAUUAGAUACCCUGGUAGUCCACGCCGUAAACGAUGAGUGCUAAGUGUUAGGGGGUUUCCGCCCCUUAGUGCUGCAGCUAACGCAUUAAGCACUCCGCCUGGGGAGUACGGUCGCAAGACUGAAACUCAAAGGAAUUGACGGGGGCCCGCACAAGCGGUGGAGCAUGUGGUUUAAUUCGAAGCAACGCGAAGAACCUUACCAGGUCUUGACAUCCUCUGACAACCCUAGAGAUAGGGCUUUCCCUUCGGGGACAGAGUGACAGGUGGUGCAUGGUUGUCGUCAGCUCGUGUCGUGAGAUGUUGGGUUAAGUCCCGCAACGAGCGCAACCCUUGAUCUUAGUUGCCAGCAUUCAGUUGGGCACUCUAAGGUGACUGCCGGUGACAAACCGGAGGAAGGUGGGGAUGACGUCAAAUCAUCAUGCCCCUUAUGACCUGGGCUACACACGUGCUACAAUGGACAGAACAAAGGGCUGCGAGACCGCAAGGUUUAGCCAAUCCCACAAAUCUGUUCUCAGUUCGGAUCGCAGUCUGCAACUCGACUGCGUGAAGCUGGAAUCGCUAGUAAUCGCGGAUCAGCAUGCCGCGGU